AACGAACGCUGGCGGCGUGCCUAACACAUGCAAGUCGAGCGGGAAAGUCUCCUUCGGGAGGCGAGUACAGCGGCGAACGGGUGAGUAACACGUAGGUAACCUACCCUGGGGACCGGGAUAACCUGUCGAAAGGCGGGCUAAUACCGGAUAAGACCACGAGAGCCUCGGCUCUUGCGGUAAAAGGUGGCCUCUGCUUGCAAGCUAUCACCCCGAGAUGGGCCUGCGUGCCAUUAGCUAGUUGGUGAGGUAACGGCUCACCAAGGCUGAGAUGGCUAGCUGGUCUGAGAGGAUGGCCAGCCACACUGGGACUGAGACACGGCCCAGACUCCUACGGGUGGCAG
rnacentral:rRNA from 1 species